rnacentral:lncRNA from 10 species
UCUUUGUUGACUUGCUGCCUUGAUGAUCUGUCUAGUGCUUUCAGUGGAACACCAGUGAUUCAUAGGGUUUUCGGUCAGGCUUCUGAGCCCAAGCCUGCAUGUAUACAUCCAGAUGGCCUGAGACAACUGAAAAGUACAAAAGAAGUGAAAGAGCCAGCUCCUUUCUUAACUGAUGGACAAACCUUACAACAUUCCAUUAUGAUUUGCUCCUGCCCUGUCCCAAAUGAUUGAUCGAUGGACCUCGUGACAUUCUUCUUCUGGAAAAUGAGUCUUAUGAUCUCCCCACCAAGAACCUUGCGACGCCAACCCCUGCCCGCAAGAGAAAAACCCCCUUUAACUGUAACUUUCCACUGCUUAUCCCAGUCCCAUAAAAGUGCCGCAUCUCUAACUCCCUUCACUGACUCCUUUCUCAGACUCAGCCCACUUGCACCCAAAUGAAUAAACAGCUUUGUUGCUCACACA